UGGUCUCCAGCACACCUUUCUUGGUAGAGUUGAGAAUUCAACCAGCCAGUUCUUCCUGGAGAUUCUCAGAGCCACAUUGAGAGAGCAGAGGACUUACAAGUGCUGCCCUAUCCAUGGUGACUCCCCUUGGCCUCUAGGCUUGUCUGAGCAGAGGUAGAGUGACCCUGCCGCCUGUUCCUCAACAGUCUGUGCAAAUUCAAAGAAAUAGAGUGUGAAUUCAAGGAACUCAUUUGAAGAACAGGAAAAGCAACUCUCUCCUUGAGGUUAUCGGGGAAAUGAAGGUUGAAACAUGGAUCAGAAGACUUGCUGAGGUCCCUUCCACCCUCAGCUCUUCCAUUCUGUUCCCAAAUGAGGCCCAAAACACAGCUUUCUCCAUCACUCUUUAAUCUGUUGGUUGAUUUGUCUGGUGCACCCAACCAGCACUGUGGCCCUGAAAAUAAAAUGUUAAUUACAUC
rnacentral:lncRNA from 1 species